UACGUAGGGGGCAAGCGUUGCUCGGAAUCACUGGGCGUAAAGGGUGCGUAGGCGGGUCUUUAAGUCUGGGGUGAAAUCCUGGAGCUCAACUCCAGAACUGCCUUUGAUACUGAAGAUCUUGAGUUCGGGAGAGGUGAGUGGAACUGCGAGUGUAGAGGUGAAAUUCGUAGAUAUUGGGAAGAACACCGAUGGCGAAGGCAGCCAUCUGGACCGACACUGACGCUGAGGCGCGAAAGCGUGGGGAGCAAACAGG
rnacentral:rRNA from 1 species